rnacentral:rRNA from 1 species
AUGAAGUCGGAGUUGCUAGUAAUCGCGGAUCAGCAUGCCGCGGUGAAUACGUUCCCGGGCCUUGUACACACCGCCCGUCACACCAUGGGAGUUGGGAGUGCCCAAAGCCGGUGAGGCAACCGAAAGGAGCCAGCCGUCUAAGGCAAGACCAAUGACUGGGGUGAAGUCGUAACAAGGUAAC